rnacentral:rRNA from 1 species
CGAAUAGGGGAGCCGAAGGGAAACCGAGUCUUAACUGGGCGUUAAGUUGCAGGGUAUAGACCCGAAACCCGGUGAUCUAGCCAUGGGCAGGUUGAAGGUUGGGUAACACUAACUGGAGGACCGAACCGACUAAUGUUGAAAAAUUAGCGGAUGACUUGUGGCUGGGGGUGAAAGGCCAAUCAAACCGGGAGAUAGCUGGUUCUCCCCGAAAGCUAUUUAGGUAGCGCCUCGUGAAUUCAUCUCCGGGGGUAGAGCACUGUUUCGGCAAGGGGGUCAUCCCGACUUACCAACCCGAUGCAAACUGCGAAUACCGGAGAAUGUUAUCACGGGAGACACACGGCGGGUGCUAACGUCCGUCGUGAAGAGGGAAACAACCCAGACCGCCAGCUAAGGUCCCAAAGUCAUGGUUAAGUGGGAAACGAUGUGGGAAGGCCCAGACAGCCAGGAUGUUGGCUUAGAAGCAGCCAUCAUUUAAAGAAAGCGUAAUAGCUCACUGGUCGAGUCGGCCUGCGCGGAAGAUGUAACGGGGCUAAACCAUGCACCGAAGCUGCGGCAGCGACGCUGAUGCGUUGUUGGGUAGGGGAGCGUUCUGUAAGCCUGUGAAGGUGUGCUGUGAGGCAUGCUGGAGGUAUCAGAAGUGCGAAUGCUGACAUAAGUAACGAUAAAGCGGGUGAAAAGCCCGCUCGCCGGAAGACCAAGGGUUCCUGUCCAACGUUAAUCGGGGCAGGGUGAGUCGACCCCUA